GACAGAGGGUGCAAACGUUGUUCGGAAUUACUGGGCGUAAAGCGCGUGUAGGCGGCUAAGUAAGUCGGGCGUGAAAUCCCACGGCUCAACCGUGGAAGUGCACUCGAAACUGCAUAGCUAGAGUCCUGGAGAGGAAGGUGGAAUGCUUGGUGUAGAGGUGAAAUUCGUAGAUAUCAAGCGGAACACCGGUGGCGAAGGCGGCCUUCUGGACAGUGACUGACGCUG
rnacentral:rRNA from 1 species